rnacentral:lncRNA from 1 species
GUGAGGCCAGAACAAAGCAAGCAGAAGAGAAAAGGGUGAGCAGCUUGCUCAUCACUCUCUCUGUCUUCCCGUGCUGGAUGCUUCCUUCCUCUCCUCCUGCCCUUGGACAUCAGACUUCCUGGUCUUUGGCCUUUGGACUCUGGGACUUGCACCAGCGGCCUCCUGGAGGAUUACAGGGCUUCAUCCUAAGACCGAGACCUACGCAGUCGGCUUCUCUGGUUUUGAGGCUUUUAGACUUGGACUGAGUCACACUACGGGCUUCUGUCUUUCCCCAGCUUGCCAAGAGCCUGUUGUGGGAUUUCUGCUCGUAAUCAUAUAACAGACCCUCAGGAUGGUUGGUAUUUGUGGAAUUAGCGUUCAGGCUGAGAGGGAGGGGGAACAACAGUGAAACUCCCCACGCCGACCAGCAUAGCACCUGCUGCCACCUGGUGGAACGUGGCUGAGACAAGGAACGCUGGGACCUGAAGCAGGACCUACACUUCAAACAAACAUCUGGCUUUGAAAUGUUUCCUGAAGGCAUCAAAUAAAUUGUGGCUGUCGAUGUUGUUG